CCUGACGAAGUUAAGAGUAUCACAUGAUACACACUUUUUGUGGUUCAGCUCCUGAUAGUUUCUUCAGUUUAAUGAUAUCCGCUAGUUUAUUAUCACUGAAAAUAAUGGCAGAACCAAGAGAGUUAGUGCAAAAUUUAAAUUUGUUACCGAUUUUUCCUUAUAUGCCGCCACUUUUUCCCACUGGAUUAAAUUAUCCUCAAAAUUUGAAGAUAAUUUUGCCAGGAACGCAGAUUGGUGAACAAUUAAACUACGACAAGCUUAUUAGGAGAAAUCGUUGCCGCAACACAUUUAAUGUGGAACAAAAAUCACAAUUGGAAGCUGCUUUCGAAAAAGAGAAUUAUAUAAACGCAGAUCGACGUAAAGAAUUGAGCAAAAUGACCGGUUUAACUGAAACUCAGAUAAGGGUUUGGUUUCAGAACAGGAGAGCGAAACAAAAAAGAGAGAACGGCGAAACUGGACAGAUGUCAUUUACAACAGGGUGUUUGUGUAAAUCCAUAUUUCCCUUAUGGUAUCAGCCGUCUUUAAAAUGUUUUUGCAAAGAACUGUUAUCACUGCGAGCUAAGUGAACGGUCACUUACUUAAUAAAGCUCUGUUAAAAAUCUAUAAACUACAUAUUUUUCGUAUAGCGUCUAAAUUAAAUUUUGGGAUCAUUGGGUGUCAGCAAGACCGUCUUUUCGGACACCGCCCACCAAAACCGCUUUCCAAAAAUAAAUAUUAAGUUAUUUCUAAUAAUUCUGGAGUUAUUAAAGGAUAAAUAUUUCAGGUACCGCAAAUUGAAUUUUAAAUUUUUGGGAAGAAGUAUUAAGAAAUUUUUUAUUUAUUUUCGCAAUUACAGCAAAACUAUUUGAAAAAGUGAAACUAUUUUAAUUUUAAUAUUAUGUCAGAUAAUCGAUUUUUUUAACAAAUUUAUAUCACAGCUGGAUUUUUUCAAGUAUUUUUAAUUUUAUAAAUAUUACCUUUUAGGCAAGUUGGAUUUUUUAUUCCUUUACUUUUGCUUAAGCUUUUUGUAUACAUUUCACUUUUCUCUUGUGUAUAAUAAUUUAAUCUUUGUUUCACAACAACAUUUACUAAAUCUGUUAAUUACUCAAGAUAAUACUUUCACAAUUCAAGAGUACUUCUCACGGGUCUUCCAACUGUUUUAAUUUAUUAUAACUCAAAAUCUAUAAGUUACACGAAGUUUUGGCUUACAUCAUGUCUCGUUUAAUUCAAUGAAAUAAAUCCAGAACACGUGAA